UCUCAAACCAUUCAUUCCCCAGCGCAAGCCAAGAAAUGCAGAAGAGGUCCAAACAUGUUGAAUAUCCACCAUGAAGACCACCUUGGGUUUUGCCAUUUUUUUAUAACAAUUUGCUGACAUGAAAAUUGACUGUUAUGUACUUCUUUUGAAAUCCUACUGUACUAUGAAUUCUUUAGUUUGCGUGAGGGAAAUAUCUAAUGGUAGCAGACUACUUAUUUUGGACAACAUAAAAUGACCUGCUGUAAGUAAGUAUUUUAAAUGAAAUACUGGCUGAAUAAUCAUGAGAUUAAUUACAAUUCUGAAUAAUUUUCUACUGUGCCUGCCACUUGGUAGCUAGCAAGAGGAGCAGACAUGAUGUUCAUUUGUGACUCAUUUUGUGGUCCAUGCAUAUGGAUCCUCUGAAUAUUAGCAAAGUAAACAUUCAAGGUUUCUCUGGAAUUCAUCAAGUGGACUGACUAUCUGCAUUGCCCAGUUGCUUGCAGAAAUUUAGCUCACUGUCAUCUCUUCAAUUCAGCAACCUAGAAUGAUGCAGCAUAACUUUGGGAAACAGCAGCAUUAAAUUAGAGAUGCAAGCUGCAGACUGUAAUAUUAAAAAUGUGUUCUCCUACUGUGGCCUAAUUUGCCUUUUUCUUUUUAUGCUGAUAAUGUAUCUGAACCCACACUGUGAGCAGUGUGUAAUAAGUUUCUAGGCUUUUGGCAUCUGUUAUGGACAAACUGUGGAUUCUUUGCAGCUUCAAACAGCAAAUGAAAUGAGAAGAUCGAUGGAAUUCCUGCCUACAUGUGUGACAUGGAAAUGUGCCUAAACAAAUGUAACUUUGCAGCAGGAGCACUUAAAUUGUGUUGAGGCUAAAAAAACAGAUCUUGCUUAUCACAUGAAUUAAUUAACUGCAAAACAUUUCUUUCUCCCGUUGUUACACAAAGUAAAGGGCUGGGGAUUUGCAUCCUGUAAUUCAGCAUAUAAAACUGCUGUCAGAACCUCUGGCUCAGGAAACCCAGAAACGGCAGGAUGCAGGAAGUGUAACCAGGGGAAGGAUCACCUCGUGCUUGCCUUGCUCUGAUACUUUUCCUUAGGCAUCUGCUACUGGCCGCUCUCAGAGCCAGGAUAUCCAACUAGAUAGACCUUUGGUCUGACCCAGCAUGGCCACUCUUAUGUAAGAAUACAUGUGAUCACGGCUGGUUUUGAUCUCCAGCCCCUUCCAGGGCUGGAUCACUAUUGAGGAUGAAUGAAACUGUGACUGGAGUUAAUUUUAAAACACUGUUAUUCAGGUUUGGAGUCAUUUCAAGGAAUGUUGUGCUGUCCAAAAAUAUGAAAAUCCACUGGAUAUACAGUCCUACUCAGGAGAGGUAAAUUAUAGAUGUUCACAUGUUCUAAAAGGAUUUGGAGUAACAAAGAAAUUGUUACCUUGUGAUUCAGCAACAUGAGAUACCUUGAUGGGUGUUACACUUAACUCUCUACACCCUUCCAGUGUAGCCUGAUAUGCGUGUGCCUCAGUUUUGCAGUAAUAAUCUGGAAAUAAACAUAUUUUCUCAUUCUCCUUG